UGGUGGAGGUGGUUUACUGACAUCCCAUUGUAUUUGACAGCCUGCCGCUGACAGGAAACACAUUGUGUACUCAGUGAUAGUGCAGACCAGCUCAGAGCUCAGCUUCAAUUAUCAGUAUCAGGUUUCAAUUUUUAAACCCAUCUGGAAUUCCAGCCUACACCCAUCCCCAAGAAAUUGCGUAAAGAUCUUUUCUGGCUCAUUCUGAUUUCAAGGUAUCAAAGGGAAGAGAAAGGAGAUGCAUUUGUCAAGUGCCUGGCUUUCACAACCUCUGAGUGCUCUGCAGCCAAUGCAAUGCAUGGAAGUACAGUCCCUGAUCUAACGUGGGGAAACACAAUGGAAAUUUACAAACAGCAAGAGCCCACAAGCAUCAAAUUGAUGAAUAUUUAUUGGAGGAUGAAUGCUGGCAAUGGGAAAAAUGUCUGCCUUAUGAUCCUCAGGCUCAGAUGUUUACAACAUAGAAGGAGGCCACUUGGCCCAUCACAUCCAAACUGGUCAAAAAAGAUCUGACUACAGCAAUCCCAUUUUCCAGCUUUUGGCCCAUGGCCCUAAAGGCUAUGGCAUCGGAAGUAAAUAAUUAAAUACUGCUUAAAUGUUCUGAGAGUUUCUGACCCAAGCUUCACUGCUCCAAGGAAACCAACCACAGCUUGUCACUUCCAUCUGCUUUUCUCCCCUUUUGUUUAAUGUCUUUUACUUUGGCGAGGUAUUGGUGAUGGACCCUGCCCGAGCAUGCUCUGGGAUCUGGUGAAGGAUCCGGCGAUCGGAGGCUAUGAGUGGAUCCUGCCUGGCCAUGUUGUGGGAUCUGGUGACUGGAGGCUGUGAGCGGAUCCUGCCUGGCCAUGUUGUGGGAUCCGGUUGCAGCACCUGUAGUUAUAGAAUCAGAGGCAGCGGCAACAGCAGGAGAUCAGAGGCGGUCACAGCAGCAAGCACUCAGUUUCUCCCGAGACUGCAACCUGUGGCCUGGCUUGGGUGCCUGCACGGAGCAAAUGAAAACCAUCUGGAGAAGAGAAAUUGAAGAACAACAAGUCCAGGAAAGCAAAAUGGAUCAUCUCAGCAAAGCAUGUGAACAGGAUCCAUGGACCUGCCUUCCCAGUUUCUACUCCCACCAUGAACUCCAAUAUUUUUGUGUCUGUCCCUGUCUGUCAUAUGAGUGUGUAGGAGAGUUUCAUAAAGGGGGUUAGAGUUUUAACUAGUAGAGUUAUAAGUCAAAAAUUUAUAAUUGCUUACCUAUAGCUAGGAUCCAUUUGUAAUAAAUAGCAAUUCUGGUUAAGCA